AAAAAUUCAAUGAAAAAGAGAGUAAUUAUCUAGGAAGUCUUAGCGAAUCGGGGAUGGUGAAAGCCCGGUACGGAAUAGAUAAUGAAGCGCACUUUUGAGAAGCAUGUCUGAAUUUUAGUAGGGCGUGCCGGAGUAUGCUCCGUUAUAAAGUCAAGCUGGUUCAUUUUGAACAAUUAGAGUGGUACCGCGGGAAUAACUAACUCUCGUCUCUUUU
rnacentral:ncRNA from 1 species